rnacentral:rRNA from 1 species
UACGGGGGGGGCUAGCGUUGUUCGGAAUUACUGGGCGUAAAGGGCGCGUAGGCGGUCUGCUAAGUUGGAUGUGAAAACUCUGGGCUUAACCCAGAGCCUGCAUUCAAUACUGACAGGCUAGAGUUCUGGAGGGAUAGCGGAAUUCCGGGUGUAGCGGUGGAAUGCGUAGAGAUCCGGAAGAACACCGGUGGCGAAGGCGG